UGGUUUAUAGCUCAGUUGGUUAGAGCACUACCUUGACAUGGUAGGGGUCGUUGGUUCGAAUCCAAUUAAACCCACCA
rnacentral:tRNA from 2 species